UACGUAGGGUGCAAGCGUUGUCCGGAAUUAUUGGGCGUAAAGAGCUCGUAGGCGGUUUGUCGCGUCUGCUGUGAAAACUCAGGGCUUAACCCUGAGCCUGCAGUGGGUACGGGCAGACUAGAGUGUGGUAGGGGAGAUCGGAAUUCCUGGUGUAGCGGUGGAAUGCGCAGAUAUCAGGAGGAACACCGGUGGCGAAGGCGGGUCUCUGGGCCGAUACUGACGCUGAGGAGCGAAAGCGUGGGGAGCAAACAGG
rnacentral:rRNA from 1 species